AGAGCCCAGAGAAGCGGCGCGCGGCCAGGAGCCCCCGCUCCGCCACUGCCGUGCCUGCCUCCCGCAGCUGUCUGCCAUGCGCUCGCCGGGGCAGGGGCGCCCGGAGGGCGGCUAGAGCUGGGCCUGAGCCCGGGAACGCGCCUGAUCAGGGGUGGCGGAGCCGCGGUCCCCACAGCCGCCCCACCCGCGCCGCUGCCUCGCUGGGGCCCGGGCCCCCUUCCCGGUCCGUAAGUGCCACUGCCCGCUGUGUCUCGGCGAGGCUGGGGAGCGAGGGCUAGGGAGUGAGGGCGGUGGCUUCGGCCAGGGCAGCGUCAGGGAGCUGGGCUGGACUGAGAGAGGGGGCUGGGGCAUCCCUGCCCGGCCCCCUUGGGCAGCUCAGGCAGCUGGGGCUUCCCUUUGCCGCUGGGCGGGAUGAGAGGUGCGCUCCCACUGCGGGUGGGAGGCAGGACUCAGUCAUCCCGGGCAAAGGGUUGUGGGGCAGUGGGAAGCGCCCAGAGGUGAGGACUUUGGGUGAGCGGAAAGGGGAAGGGCGCAGGGUCGGCUGGAAGUUGUGGGGCUGCAGACAGGUUUAGCAGAAAGGAAGGUUUCUGAAGUGAGGUUCCUGUGAGUCCCAGGAUCGCCCUCUCCCUAGCCACUGCCCCCCUACCCCUUCCUUCUUAUCCCCUCCCCCACAAAAAAUAAUAACCUAGAAAGCAGCUUCCUGAAAAAAAUAUUUUGAGAAAAAUGCACCACACAGCACCCGCUCUAGACAAGAUUUAUGACGUUUUUCCCCCUCUGAAAUGGGAAGUUGUUGGGAAAUCCUAUUCACUCUGCUCCCCACUCCGUGCCCCAGAACAGGCCUCUUUGAUCUGUCUGUGGGCGUCUCUGCAGCCUCCUCCAGCCUAGGCUCCACUGAGCUGGAGAAGAAUAUGGGCAGCGGUGGAGGUUGAGUCAAGUGAGGGGCUUCUUUGGAAGAAGGGUUGGUGGGGGAGUUGGUCCAGUUUGGACCCGUCAGAGCAGGGAGGUAACAGAAGCUGGGAGAACUUCCAGGGUCAGAUCACAGAAGCAGUACUGGAGUCCAGAAAAACACACUGAAUCUUUGUGGCUGGGCAGAAAUCGAGGUGCUGGGCCUAAAGGGAGCCCCCUUUUGUGUCCCCAUAUCCUGGAGGAGGGGGAUUCUUAAGCCAUGGAGGGGAAGAGGAUGGAGUUUGAGGGUCUACCUUUCAAUCAAGGAACAGUGGCCAGAGGUUAGGCUAAGUGGGCACUGAGAUGGGGGCAUCAUACAGGGUCCACCUCAGGACUUCCAUUAGCAGUAUCUGCUGCUGGAGACCCCAGGGAAGGGGUAGUCCUUUGUCCAGGCCUUUUCAGGAGGGGUGUUUUCAGGUUCCUGCCCAGUUUAGGCCUCCCCAGAGCCCACACCUCAGCUGCUGAGGAGAGAGGCUGGAUGUGGGAGCCAGAGAGAGCAUUACCGCUCGACUGACCACGUGUACAUGAAGGUGGGUGUGCAGGCUCUGGGACCUCCUGGGUGCAGGGAGCUGGGUCCAUCUGAGCUGGCCCAAUGCUGGGUCUCUCAGCUAGCAGUCCUGCCGGCCUCCAGACAAUAGGGAGAUCAGCUUAAUCAAAGCUUGGGCCUGAGGAAGGAACAAGGGAGGGAGGGGGCAGUGGGGUGAGGGCACCCUGGACUUAGCCUAGAUUGUGGCUGGAGACACUGUCUCCUAAUUAAGAACCCGUGGGACUCAGGAAAGGAGCACUAGCUCCAGGCUGAAUUGCAGGCUGGGUGGCUGCAUCUGCCUGGAGUAGCGCCUGGGGAGUUCCAUUGGCCUCUGGCUCCCAGCCUCUAGAUCAGGGCAAGUCUGGUCUCAGUAGAAGGGUGCCUGCGCAGGGCUGUUGGCUAGGGUCAGAACUGUCCCCCUCUCCUGCCACUUAACCACUUAAUUUGCUAUGUCCUGAAAUAGAAGGCACACUCCUGUGGGUUGUUAGGUCCCCCGCGCUGAGUUGUGUAACUACCAAUAGGAAACAGGAACUUGGGCCAAAGCCAGCUUGGAGUCCAAGCAGCUGCCACUGCCAAUGGGUACAAGAGUGUACACGUGUACAUGCAUGGGCAAGGUACCAGCCACCUGUCUUAGGCUGGCUGCUAGACGGAGGGCCAAGUGUGUGAGGGGGUAUUGUGCAGAUUUGGUGAGUUGAGGGAGUGCAGGAUAUGCAUGUGGUUGCAGCAGGAAUGGGCAUCUCCGUUGAUCUGGAUAUGGGAGUUUCAUGGCCCAGGGGCUCUCUUUCCUCAGUGGAGGUUUGAAUACGAAAAAUUGAGUCCCAGGCCCUCCGUGGAGGCACCUAGUCGCUGAGGCUUUCUUUUUCUCUGGCUGUUAGCUUCUCCUGGUAGCUGCAGGUGCCCCUGGAGCCUGGGUUUAGGACUGAGGGGGCGAGGUGGAAGAAGUUCAGGGCAAGCGGGGAGGUGGAGAGACAGGCCUGGCAGGCAGCUCUCAGCACCAUGGCCAGGGCCCAACAACUGCCACCGGUGCUUUGGCCUGGGUGCCCAGUGGCCAGCCAGACCCAGUACCUGAUCUUCUGAAACUUUAGGGACUGUGCUGGGGCUGAAGGCCAAGGCUAGGGGCUUGGUGUGGGGAAAGCUCAUGGAACCCAGACACAGCCUGAAUUGCAGGCAAAGGGGCAAUCUGGGUCAAUGCUGGUGGCUGGUCAGGUUCUCCCCACUUGGUCUCUGAAUUGGCCUGCCCAGCAGUCUGCCAGCCUCAGCUGGCAGUGCCCAGCCCACACAAUGCGCUUCUGCCUGGUGUCGACCUGGAUGGCUUCCCGGGCUCCUGUUAAGCUGUGUGUGGAAGCCGGCUGCCAACCCACGGAGACUGCAGCUGCCUUGACCCACCGGAACAGCCUCCUCUCAGCAGCCUAUGGCCUUGAGGCUCGGUCUUUCUGUGGCCUUCUUCCUGGGAGUGGGGCUACAGUGAGAUGGAGGAGGCACUGAUUCUGGGGCCGGUCUCACUCAAGCAGGGUGUGGGAGCCUCCCCCUGGUCAGCCUCACCUGCUCCCAAGAAGGGACUCGAUUUCCCAAAAAGACAGUAGAGAUGUGGCUCUGAUGACAGUGGCCUCCUGCAUCUGAACUGAAUCGAAAUCAGGCUUUUAAUUCUUUCUCCCAAAGCCCCAACCCGCCCUAGGCUUGCAGGCCGGCCUCCGCGCGCGGUUACCGCGAGUCUCGCUGAGGAGCCAUUUUGUGCAGCAUCCUGCUUAAAUCACACUCCGAGGGGCUCGUUCCUCGCUCCCUCUUCCCCCUCGCUUCCUCUCUUUCUUCCCUCUCUCUCAGGUGAAACAUGCUUCUGGGCCCCUCCCUGCCUCCGCAGCCCCACCCUUCCCACCCCUGGGUGGCCCGGAAAGGACUAGGGCUCAGAAGGCCGCCCACACACACAUCAAGAAGGGAAGAGGGUGCAGGUUCCUGGAGCUGCAGGAGGAGGGGAAGCAAGGGGCGCCUCCCAAUUAUGGAAAUUCAUGGAAUUAACUGUCUCGGGCCCAAAUUCAGAGCUUCCUUCCUGAACCGUGGCUGGCCUCUCUGUUCCUCUGCUGGUUCAGCUGUCCAGCCCUUGUUCACCUUCUGGAAAAAGGAAUGUGUCUGCGAAGUGGGAUUUCGAGGGAAACAUGUACAUAGCAGAUUUGGUUGGUCACAAGCUGGCUGGGAUGAGAGCAGGAUGUCACCUGCUUCGGAUUUAGAGAUGGGAUGAAAUUAGAACAAACCACAGACAAGCAAUGGGGAAAGAGGCAUUUGACAAAAUCCAGAACUUGACAAAAUCCACAUGUGUCAUUUUUAGGGGAGUGUAUGGAAGGAAGAGAUUUUUAGUAAAAUCAUGAAAUCUUUUCCAAACCAUCCACUUUUGGCCCCUUCUUUCCAACCCAUCCUGCAAGGGUUUUACCUGGCUCAGAGUGGCCCAGUGCCCCAGACCCCACUAAAAUGAAUCUGCACGGGUACCUCCACCUAACCCCACAGUGCUCACUGUAGACAGCAGCAGUGAGAGUCUCUGUGACUCCCGUGUAUUGACUGCUGGAAUCUGGGAAUCCACUUGCCCAGUCCCACAUAAAAUCUCUCCCUAGCUGUUGAGCUUAAGAUUUUUCUGGGGGUAUCUAGGAGCAAAGAUAUUGCAUUUUUCAUACUGAAUCCUUUGCAUCUUGGGGAUGGCUGACAGGCGGAGGUGAAUCAUAGGGCUCAAGGCUGGAGGGUAGCCACAGCAGCAAGGAAGAAGGGGGUGAUGGCUGGCAUGAGCACGAAGUGGUACCCAUAGGCCACUCACAUCUGGAAGGCUGCAAUGGUACCACCAAUUCAGCUGCCAGCUCAGUUUAGGGGUGAUUCCGGGAGACCCAAGG
rnacentral:lncRNA from 1 species